AUGAAGAGCCAUCGGAUUUGACACGACAAACUUCAAGAAGAAAUGAAUCAUCCAAUUCUGCAGUGAGAACAUCAGCUACAACCACCAGAUAUUUGCUAUCACACACACCCACAACUCGCAAAUGCACCCCCUGUUUGGCAUGAAGAGAUCGACAAGAAACAAUAUGUUGAAGCAAUUGACGGCCAACUCCUCCACAACCCAUCAAAAAAACCGGUAAAUUCUUCAUCUUUUUGCUUUAACUUUG
rnacentral:misc_RNA from 1 species